AUAAUGAACCUAAUGCAUGUCAUUAUUUCAUCUGUAUUUAUUAUUAUUGUUUACUUUUUGAGCCUUUUACUGUUAAAAAUGCCCGCCAAUUUUGGACCGACACUUCUAUCUGCCUUCGCCUUCAACCCAUUCAGGCAGAUCUACUCAGAAUAAUACUACUUUGCCAUAUUUUACCUGUUUGGAUAUCUUGCUGAGUUCAAGUAAAAUCAAGUAUUCAGCUGAAAACACAAAAAUGAUAAUAAUAUUAUGCUUUCUUUCCUGGAAGAAUGUUGUUGCGAUAGACCCUGCAUGAAAAACACCAGGGAAUCUGUAUUUAAGUGACCUUAAUAUUAUGCGUAAACCUAAGUGUGCAUUUGUAGGCGGUGUCGAAAUGGGUCUAUAGCUCUGUCUGAACUGUCGUCCAAUUGGUUUACAAGUCCGGCUGAAGAGACAGGCCAUCAAAAACUGUACAGCAUGACUGAUUCGGAGACGGCCCUCGACACUCGCCCAGUCGUGUCGAGAGGAUCGGUGUCUUUGCAGAUUACACGGAAUUGAGCACCCGGGCCAGACUGACACUUUCCGGAGCCUGCCCGAGACGGAACUCGAGCCGAGGAAUCAUAGGUCCAGGCGGUGUCGAAAUGGGUCUAUAGCUCUGCCUGAACUGUCGUCCAAUUGGUUUACAAGUCCGGCUGAAGAUACAGGCCAUCAAAAACUGUACAGCAUGACUGAUUCGGAGACGGCCCUCGACACUCGCCCAAUCGUGUCGAGAGGAUCGGUGUCUUUGCAGAUUACACGGAAUUGAGCACCCGGGCCAGACUGACACUUUCCGGAGCCUGCCCGAGACGGAACUCGAGCCGAGGAAUCAUAGGUCCAGGCGGUGUCGAAAUGGGUCUAUAGCUCUGCCUGAACUGUCGUCCAAUUGGUUUACAAGUCCGGCUGAAGAGACAGGCCAUCAAAAACUGUACAGCAUGACUGAUUCGGAGACGGCCCUCGACACUCGCCCAGUCGUGUCGAGAGGAUCGGUGUCUUUGCAGAUUACACGGAAUUGAGCACCCGGGCCAGACUGACACUUUCCGGAGCCUGCCCUAGACGGAACUCGAGCCGAGGAAUCAUAGGUCCAGAAAGC